rnacentral:lncRNA from 1 species
UGGAAUCCUGUGCCUAAUUACCAAUUAUUAAAUAUCAUAGUUUUAGUAUUUUAGAAAGAUUAAACUAUAUUUGUAAGUGCUUACGUACUUACCUGAUUUUCAUUUACGAAUUUAUUUUACAAAAGAGUUUUCAAAUGCCAAAUACAAUCAUGUGUAACCACCAAAAAGAUGUAUUAUUACACGCCUCCACACAAUUUCACCGAAGUGUACAUACGCCACCACCGAAAAUCGUCACGCGCUACCACUGGACCACCGUGUGUCGCCACAAAUCGAUUGAAACAUGGCACAGAAUGCACCGCACGCUCAGAUUUGAUGCAGAUAAAGUGAAAUCACGUUGGAAAACGGUGCAGAUGCGCAAAAUAAUGCUUUAGUCUUCGCGCUCCGAUCUUCUUCUCCAGCGUUGCUCUGUCGUGCCCAACUACUUUUCCACUCUCCCUUUUCUUGCUUCGACACAAAUCGAGAAUAAACUGGGUGUGUCACCGCCGCUGCUGUCUUCUCCUUUUUUUUCUUAUUCUUACUUCAUUCCCUCUUUCUCUCUCUCUCUCUCUCUCUCUCUCUCUCUCUCUCUCUCUCUUUCUCUCUUUCCACCUUUCUCUCUUUACCCAAUCC